CUAGAAGGGGUUUGCUCUUGUUAAGGCCUGGAAGAUCCAACAGUAUCAGAAACAGGCAGAAACAUAGGCAAAAGUUAGCAGAGAAGCAAAGGUAUACGAAACCUGGAUAAUUAGGCCUAAGAAGCUGUGCUAUUCACCGGCAAUUGGUCUAUGGAUAAACAGUUUGUGCCAAACUUGCCAGCCAGAGGAUUAGAGCCGGGGCCUCUGGCAGAGGCUACGUGUGGACAAAGGUUUGGAUGCCUGUGUGUGGAGGAGGGGCACGGCCAGAGGGCAGAUGAGGUGCAACCCCAAGGUUGUGGGUGAAACCAGAAUGCUGCCUUUUCCUUCUCACCCAGGUUAACACACAGGACCUGGGCCUCCAGUGCGCAGACACCAAUAUUUGUUCUCUAUCUCUGAGUAACAAGUCCUCACCAACCUAGAGGCUUCAUAACACCCAUUUAUUAGCUCAGUUUUGUAGGUCAGAAGUCUGGGGUGGGCUUCACCGAGUCUCUGGUUAGGGUCUCAAGGCCAACAUCAAGGCAUUGGCCAGGCUGAGCUCUUAUCGGAGGCUGUGGGGGAGAAUCUGCUCGCACGGUCAUUUAGGUUGUCAGCAGAACCAGUUCCCUGUGGUUGUAGGACUGAGGUCCCCGUUGUCUUGCUGGCUGUUGGCUGGGGGUCUGUCUCAGCUCCUAGAGGCUGCUCUCAAGUCCUUCCUCCGCAUCUUCAAAGCCAGUGACGGAGCAUCAAAUCCUUCGUGUGCUUGGAAUCUCUGACUUUCCUUCUGCCACCAGAGAAACUCUCUGCCUUUAAAGGGCUCUUGUGAUGAGGUCAGGCCCACCCAGAGAACCACUCUAUUUGAAGGUCAACUGAUUGGGAACCUUAACUCCACUGCAAAUCCCUUUUGCCAUAUAAUGUGAUAUAAUCACAGAAGCAACACCCAGAGAUGGAGAUCUCGGGGGCAUCUUAGAAUUCUGCCUUCCACAGGACCUGAGGCUUUGCGUCUGGGGCCCAGAGUGGCAUCCUUUGGAGCUAAAGAGACUUUUGUCUUCUGGCCAAAAAGCUGCCCCACUUGGUUCCACCCAGCCAUGGUGGGGUGGCCGACAGGCCUGGCCCCUGCUCUUACCAUAAAGACGGGAGAUAUAGGAACAGAGAGAAAAUGCACCCCACCCACCCGACACCAGGUUCCUUUUUCUGAAAGCCUCAUAGGAACCUGACCUCCCUAAGGGGAAGCUCAAAAAUGCACAGAGAAACAAAGCCCGGCCCUGCCAUCAGGGAGCUCACCCACUAACGGCCUCCACUUGCCCCCCAACACCCCCCAUCUUUGCACUCGGGUCUCACGCCUUGAAGAGAGCCCCAGAGUUGUCCAGACUCCCCACUAUCUGCCUCACCCUCCCUCACACCCCCAUUAGUGGUGGACAGGCCUGGGCACGGUGACUUCAGGACUUGGCAGCUCCCCUGGCAUUCCCUGGCCCACCUCCUGGCCACCCAGAUGGUGCCCAGCCUGGAGACGCAGUUCCUGGGCUGUUCCCUGCAGAUGGCCUGCCUUUGGGGAGGGCAGAGGAGAGAGGAGUGGGAGGCCCUCCCACGGGGGCCUCCUGCAGCAGCCUCUCAGCCUGGCCUCAUCCCUCACCUCCUCAUCCCGCCUCCGGCCUGUCUGCUGGCUGCCCGCUCCCUCAAGGGUCUGCCCUUAACAUGUUCCCAGCACUUUCUGGAACAUGUUUUGAGCUCCUUUCAAUGCCCCUUCCUGUAGCAAGGCCAGGGCCUGGAGGACUCUUGGUCAAACAACUUAUCCAGAGCUCCCAUGUGAAGCCGUCUUUCGGGCCUGUGGCCUUUCCUUUCCCCUGGGACCACGCAGAAGGCAGCAAGUGACAUGGCGGGAUCCUCUGCAGGCCACCAGGGGUGUGGGUGGUGAAGGGUCCAGGCAGCACUCCCGAUUCCUUGGGGCCCAGACGCUGCAGAGCUGCUGGACAGGAUGCGCACAGCAAGGACGCUGACUGAUUUUUAGGGACCAAGCCCUCUGCUGGGCACCUUUCUGAAGGCAGAGAGGAAGCUGAAGGCCGUGGAGCUGCUGAAAUGUCUUGAAGGCUGCAUGAAGGGCGCUGCCCACUCCCCUUGCUCCUGCGAGGGGUCAGAAGGGCACUGACUGGGGAGGUGAGGGGCCAGUCACCCCCCUUACCCGGGCUCAGACUCCCGACACACGGCCGCACGAGAGAUGCGCAGGUUGAGUGCAUGGUCCCCAGGCUCCAGGAUUCAGAAGUCUUUAUAAGGUUGGGACCACACCCCUCCUAUAUGGCCCCGGGAGGUGUUUAGUCAUCUAGAAGCAGAAGCAAGCUCUUGGAAAAGUCAACAGCCACACCUCUUGCUCCUGUGAAAUCCUCUUCCUUCCUGGGUGUGGCCUUUCUACCCCGAGGUCGAGGUCG
rnacentral:lncRNA from 1 species